rnacentral:rRNA from 1 species
GAUGAACGCUAGCGGCAGGCUUAACACAUGCAAGUCGAGGGGCAGCACGUCUUCGGAUGGUGGCGACCGGCGCACGGGUGAGUAACGCGUAUGCAAUCUACCUUUUACAGGGGCAUAGCCCGGGGAAACCCGGAUUAAUAUCCUAUAGUACCAUUAUAUAGCAUUAUAUUAUGGUUAAAGUUUCGGCGGUAAAAGAUGAGCAUGCGUCCUAUUAGCUUGAUGGUAAGGUAACGGCUUACCAUGGCUAUGAUAGGUAGGGGUCCUGAGAGGGAGACCCCCCACACUGGUACUGAGACACGGACCAGACUCCUACGGGAGCCAGCAGUGAGGAAUAUUGGACAAUGGGCGCAAGCCUGAUCCAGCCAUGCCGCGUGCAGGAAGACGGCCCUAUGGGUUGUAAACUGCUUUUUAUACGGGAAGAAACACCCCUUCGUGAAGGGACUUGACGGUACCGUAUGAAUAAGGAUCGGCUAACUCCGUGCCAGCAGCCGCGGUAAUACGGAGGAUACCG